AUUGAACGCUGGCGGCAUGCCUUACACAUGCAAGUCGAACGGCAGCACGGACUUCGGUCUGGUGGCGAGUGGCGAACGGGUGAGUAAUGCAUCGGAACGUACCCGGUAGUGGGGGAUGACUACCCGAAAGGGUGGCUAAUACCGCAUAUACUGUGCGCAGGAAAGCAGGGGACCUUCGGGCCUUGUGCUACCGGAGCGGCCGAUGGCAGAUUAGGUAGUUGGUGGGGUAACGGCCUACCAAGCCUGCGAUCUGUAGCGGGUCUGAGAGGAUGAUCCGCCACACUGGGACUGAGACACGGCCCAGACUCCUACGGGAGGCAGCAGUGGGGAAUUUUGGACAAUGGGCGCAAGCCUGAUCCAGCCAUGCCGCGUGAGUGAAGAAGGCCUUCGGGUUGUAAAGCUCUUUCAGACGGAAAGAAAUCGCGCAGGCUAAUAUCCUGUGCGGAUGACGGUACCGUCAUAAGAAGCACCGGCUAACUACGUGCCAGCCGCCGCCGUAA
rnacentral:rRNA from 1 species